rnacentral:rRNA from 1 species
ACUCCUACGGGAGGCAGCAGUGGGGAAUAUUGGACAAUGGGGGCAACCCUGAUCCAGCAAUGCCGCGUGUGUGAAGAAGGCCUUCGGGUUGUAAAGCACUUUUAGCGGGGAGGAAAAGAAGUGUGUUAAAUACCA